GAUAAGGUUAAGUGAAUAAGGGCGCACGGUGGAUGCCUUGGCACUAGGAGCCGAUGAAGGACGGGACUAACACCGAUAUGCUUUGGGGAGCUGUACGUAAGCUAUGAUCCAGAGAUUUCCGAAUGGGGGAACCCAGCAUCUUUAAUAGGAUGUUACGAUUGUGUGAAUACAUAGCACAUUCGAGGUAGACGCAGAGAACUGAAACAUCUAAGUACCUGCAGGAAGAGAAAGAAAAUUCGAUUCCCUGAGUAGCGGCG
rnacentral:rRNA from 1 species